rnacentral:rRNA from 1 species
UACGUAGGGUGCAAGCGUUAUCCGGAAUUAUUGGGCGUAAAGAGUGCGUAGGCGGCUUGACAAGUUUGGGGUUAAAUCUGAUCGCUUAACGAUCAAUCUGUCUCAAAAACUAUCAAGCUAGAGAAUGAUAUAGGCAACUAGAAUUCUGCAUGUAGGGGUAAAAUCCGUUGAUAUGCAGAGGAAUACCAAAAGCGAAGGCAGGUUGCUGGGUCAUUUCUGACGCUGUUGCACGAAAGCGUGGGGAGCAAACAGG